UACGUAGGGUGCAAGCGUUAAUCGGAAUUACUGGGCGUAAAGCGUGCGCAGGCGGUUCGGUAUGUCUGGUGUGAAAGCCCCGGGCUUAACCUGGGAAUUGCAUUGGAAACUAGCGGGCUGGAGUGUGGCAGAGGGGGGUGGAAUUCCACGUGUAGCAGUGAAAUGCGUAGAGAUGUGGAGGAACACCGAUGGCGAAGGCAGCCCCCUGGGCUAACACUGACGCUCAUGCACGAAAGCGUGGGGAGCAAACAGG
rnacentral:rRNA from 1 species